AUACAGAGGGUGUGAGCGUUAAUCGGAAUUACUGGGCGUAAAGCGCGCGUAGGCGGUUAUGUAAGUCAGAUGUGAAAUCCCUGGGCUCAACCUAGGAACUGCAUCUGAAACUGGGUAACUAGAGUUUAGGAGAGGGGAGUAGAAUUUCGGGUGUAGCGGUGAAAUGCAUAUAGAUCCGAAGGAAUACCAGUGGCGAAGGCGACUCCCUGGCCUAGAACUGACGCUGAGGUGCGAAAGCGUGGGUAUCAAACGGGAUUAGAAACCCUAGUAGUCC
rnacentral:rRNA from 1 species